GAUGAACGCUGGCGGCGUGCCUAAUACAUGCAAGUCGAGCGAAUGGAUUAAGAGCUUGCUCUUAUGAAGUUAGCGGCGGACGGGUGAGUAACACGUGGGUAACCUGCCCAUAAGACUGGGAUAACUCCGGGAAACCGGGGCUAAUACCGGAUAACAUUUUGAACCGCAUGGUUCGAAAUUGAAAGGCGGCUUCGGCUGUCACUUAUGGAUGGAUCCGCGUCGCAUUAGCUAGUUGGUGAGGUAACGGCUCACCAAGGCAACGAUGCGUAGCCGACCUGAGAGGGUGAUCGGCCACACUGGGACUGAGACACGGCCCAGACUCCUACGGGAGGCAGCAGUAGGGAAUCUUCCGCAAUGGACGAAAGUCUGACGGAGCGACGCCGCGUGAGUGAUGAAGGCUUUCGGGUCGUAGAACUCUGUUGUUAGGAAAGAACAAGUGCUAGUUGAAUAAGCUGGCACCUUGACGGUACCUAACCAGAAAGCCACGGCUAACUACGUGCCAGCAGCCGCCGCCG
rnacentral:rRNA from 1 species